GCUUGCUUUGGCAGCAUAUAUUAAAUUGGAAUGAUAAAGGAAAGAUUAGCAUGGCCCCUGUGCAAAGAUUACACACAAAUUUGUGAAGCAUUCCAUAUUUUU